GUACAAAGAGGACACCGGUAAAAAAUGUUAAUUCAUCAGGCUCCUAUGCAGAUGUUGGGCAAUACGUUGAAGGGAUAUUGCAGAAAACAUCACAAUUAUUGUUUUCAGAGGUCAAGGAAGAAAAUAUAAAGUUACACGGGGAGCAACUGGGUACUGUGGUAUCUGAAAAAUUACA